AGCUCCAAUAGCGUAUAUUAAAGUUGUUGCAGUUAAAAAGCUCGUAGUUGCAUUUCUGUUGGGAGGGAUCGUUCCAUGCCUCUGGCUUGGAUUCGUAUCGUCUCCUGACAUCCUUGGGUGGAGCCAUUCUGGCAUUAAGUUGUCGGGGUGGGGAUGCCCAUCGUUUACUGUGAAAAAAUUAGAGUGUUCAAAGCAGGCUUAUGCCGUUGAAUAUAUUAGCAUGGGAUAAUAAGAUAGGACUUUGGUACUAUUUUGUUGGUUUGCGCACCAGAGUAAUGACGAAUAGGGACAGUUGGGGGUAUUCGUAUUCAGUUGUCAGAGGUGAAAUUCUUAGAUUUAUUGAAGACGAACUACUGCGAAAGCAUUUACCAAGGAUGUUUUCA
rnacentral:rRNA from 1 species